rnacentral:rRNA from 1 species
CUACGGGUGGCUCCAGUUAGGAAUAAUCUACAAUGCGCGUAAGCGUGAUAGUUUGAGUCAGAGUGCGUUUCAAUUUGGAAUGCUUUUGCCGAAUCUAAAACGUUCGGCGAAUAAGGACUGGGUAAGACGAGUGCCAGCCGCCGCGGUAAUACUCGCGGUCCAAGUCGCAGCCAUUUUUAUUGGGUCUAAAACAUCCGUAGCUUGCUUUUUAAGUUCCUUGUGAAAUCCAAUAUCUAAAAUAUUGGGCGCGCGAGGAGUACUAAUAAGCUAGAGACUGGAGGACGUGAGAAGUACGUUCAAAGUAGCGGUUAAAUGUGUUAAUCUUGGACGGACUACCAAUAGCGAAGGCAUCUCACGAGGACAGUUCUGACAGUAAGGGAUGAAGGCUAGGGGCGCAAAACGGAUUAGAUACCCUCGUAGUC